GAAGACAGGCCUAGACCACAACAAUGAAAGUGAAUUCCACCAGAGGCAAGACAAUUGAGAAUAAAGGAAGCAAGUGAAUCCCUCUGUGACAAAAUGACAAAUACUAGGGAUUGAACCCAGCUAUGUUCUUCACCUCAUUAAGUUGACUGGUCUCACUCAGUUGUCUACCACACUGAAUCUUAACUUGUCAUCCUCCUGACUCAGUCUCCUGGAUAGCUGGGAG